GCACUGCUGACGAGUCCCAACCGGGACGAAACAGCUGUUCAGUGC
rfam:Echinostoma caproni strain Egypt genome assembly, scaffold: ECPE_scaffold0000355